rnacentral:rRNA from 1 species
UACGUAGGGUGCAAGCGUUAAUCGGAAUUACUGGGCGUAAAGCGUGCGCAGGCGGUUGUGCAAGACAGAUGUGAAAUCCCCGGGCUUAACCUGGGAAUUGCAUUUGUGACUGCACGGCUAGAGUGUGUCAGAGGGGGGUAGAAUUCCACGUGUAGCAGUGAAAUGCGUAGAUAUGUGGACGGAAUACCGAUGGCGAAGGCAGCCCCCUGGGAUAACACUGACGCUUAUGGCACGAA